rnacentral:lncRNA from 1 species
AGAUCCGCCGGAUCCGGGAUCCGGGAGUCGCGCUAGGACCUGGAGGGCUAGUCGGCGGGCUGCGCGUCCGGCCGCUAGCUGAGCUGGAGGCCACCGGCCAGAGCCGACCCCAGGAGUGAGAGAGACAGGGGCGUGCGUGAGUUCCGGCGGCCUGCACCGGGCAAACCCCGUACCUUCCCAGCAUCGGCUCAGCAACCCACGUGCAUCCAGGCCGGUCAAUGUCAUUGAGUCACCUCCGCGCCUUGGCCACCCUGGAGUCCCGAGAAUCCGAAGUUCCAGACAAAUGCCCAAACUACAUUCCUGCAUGUUCGAAAGCGUAAAUUGCAAAGCACAAAUCCAGUUGUAGAUUGUGGCCGGGAGCAGUGGCUCACGCCUAUAAUCCCAGCACUUUGGGAGGCCGAGGCGGACAGAUCACGAGGUCAGCACUUCGAGACCAGCAUGGCCAACAUGGUGAAGCCCCAUCUCUACUAAAAAUACAAACAUUAGCCAGGCAUGGUGGUAGGCCCCUGUAAUCCCAGCUACUCGGUAGGCUGAGGCAGGAGAAUCACUUGAACCCGGGAGGCAGAGGUUUCAGUGAGCUGAGACUGCACCAUUGCACUCCAGCCUGGGCGACAGACCAAGACUCCAUCUCAAAAAAAAAAAAAAAAAAGUUAUAGAUUGUAAGGAAAAUACCCCCAAGGAAGUUGAGGACACAGCAGACUUGGACUGUCUCCAAACCUGUUCAUUCUUCUGAGUGCACUGCUCGGAGCAUCCUAUUGGGCAGCAUAUCCUGGCCUCCUUUCCAGUUCGAUGUGGUACUAUACCUGAUUUCUGGCCAAUAAAAUAUGAGAGGACAUGAAAUUCAACAGCCCCUGGGCUUGGCUUAUAAAACCUUCCAUGCAAUCCUCCACACCUUUUCACCUCUCAGCUGCUGAGACUUUUCUAGGCACUACACAGAAGCAGCCUGGGUCUCCAGUAGCAAAGGAGAGCAGAUCCUUCUCACUAUCCUGCACCGAACUGUGACAUGAGCAAAAAAUAAAGUUUUUAUUUUCUUACACCAUUGA